rnacentral:snRNA from 1 species
UUCUUACUUCUGCAACAUAUAUCCUUAAAUUGAAGCAACACAGGAAAGGUAUGCGUAGUCCCUGUGUAGGGAUGCCAGGCAAAUUGGUGAAACAUUCUGUAUUUUG